rnacentral:tRNA from 1 species
GUGGGUAAAGCUCAGUGGUAGAGCACAUGCUUUGCAUGCAGGGGGUCCGGGAUUCAACCCCCAGUACCUCCA